rnacentral:tRNA from 1 species
GCCUGGGUGGCUCAGUCGGUUGGGCAUCUGACUUCAGCUCAGGUCAUGAUCUCGCGGUCCGUGAGUUCGAGCCCCGCGUCAGGCU